CAGCAGCAGCCGCGGUAAUACAGAGGGUGCGAGCGUUAAUCGGAUUUACUGGGCGUAAAGCGUGCGUAGGCGGCUAAUUGAGUCGGAUGUGAAAUCCCCGAGCUUAACUUGGGAAUUGCAUUCGAUACUGGUUAGCUAGAGUGUGGGAGAGGAUGGUAGAAUUCCAGGUGUAGCGGUGAAAUGCGUAGAGAUCUGGAGGAAUACCGAUGGCGAAGGCAGCCAUCUGGCCUAACACUGACGCUGAGGUACGAAAGCAUGGGGAGCAAACAGGAUUAGAUACCCGGGUAGUCCCUGUCUCUUAUAC
rnacentral:rRNA from 1 species